UACGUAGGUGGCAAGCGUUGUCCGGAUUUACUGGGCGUAAAGAGCGCGCAGGCGGUCGUUCAAGUCGCGUGUGAAAGCCCCCGGCUCAACUGGGGAGGGUCACGCGAUACUGAUCGACUCGAAGGCAGGAGAGGGUAGUGGAAUUCCCGGUGUAGUGGUGAAAUGCGUAGAUAUCGGGAGGAACAUCAGUGGCGAAGGCGACCACCUGGACUGAUACUGACACUGAGGUGCGAAAGCGUGGGGAGCAAACAGG
rnacentral:rRNA from 1 species